UACAGAGGUCCCAAGCGUUGUUCGGAUUCACUGGGCGUAAAGGGUGCGUAGGUGGUGAGGAAAGUCGGAUGUGAAAUCUCCGGGCUAACCCGGAAAUGGCAUUGGAAACUACCUUGCUAGAGGUUUUGAGGGGGGACUGGAAUUCUCGGUGUAGCAGUGAAAUGCGUAGAUAUCGAGAGGAACACCAGUGGCGAAGGCGAGUCCCUGGAAAACACCUGACACUGAGGCACGAAAGCUAGGGGAGCAAACAGG
rnacentral:rRNA from 1 species